AGCGAACGCUGGCGGCAGGCCUAACACAUGCAAGUCGAACGAACCCUUCGGAGUUAGUGGCGGACGGGUGAGUAACACGUGGGAACGUGCCUUUUGGUUCGGAAUAACUCAGGGAGACUUGUGCUAAUACCGAAUGUGCCCUUCGGGGGAAAGAUUUAUCGCCAUUAGAGCGGCCCGCGUCUGUUUAGCUAGGUGGUGAGGUAACGGCUCACCAAGGCGACGAUCAGUAGCUGGUCUGAGAGGAUGACCAGACACACUGGGACUGAGACACGGCCCAGACUCCUACGGGAGGCAGCAGUGGGGAAUCCUGCGCAAUGGGCGAAAGCCUGACGCAGCCAUGCCGCGUGAAUGAUGAAGGUCUUAGGAUUGUAAAAUUCUUUCACCGGGGACGAUAAUGACGGUACCCGGAGAAGAAGCCCCGGCUAACUUCGUG
rnacentral:rRNA from 1 species